UAUUGGCAUCGCGUGAUGGAUAGUAGUGGAAAGCCCACAGCAAAACGAAAUGUAAUGGAGUUUUGUGAGGACUUGUAACGAUAGCCAGACCCGAA
rnacentral:sRNA from 1 species